CUGGUUGAUCCUGCCAGACCCGACUGCUAUCGGAUUGGGACUAAGCCAUGCGAGUCAACUCCGCAAGGGGUGGCGCACGGCUCAGUAACACGUAGUCAACCUACCCUGGGGACGGGGAUAACCUCGGGAAACUGAGGCUAAACCCCGAUGGGCCAUGGCUCCUGGAAUGGGCUAUGGCUGAAAUCUACAUGGCCCCAGGAUGGGACUGCGGCCGAUCAGGUUGUUGGUGGGGUAAUGGCCCACCAAGCCUAUAACCGGUGCGGGCUCUGAGAGGAGGAGCCCGGAGAUGGGCACUGAGACAAGGGCCCAGGUCCUAUGGGGCGCAGCAGGCGCGAAACCUCCGCAAUGGGCGAAAGCCCGACGGGGUCAGUCCGAGUGGUUCCCGCUGAGGGAACCUUUUGCCAGCUGUAAACAGGCUGGCGAAUAAGGGGUGGGCAAGUUUGGUGUCAGCCGCCGCGGUAAUACCAGCACCCCGAGUGGUCGGGACGAUUAUUGGGCCUAAAGCAUCCGUAGCCGGCCCAGUAAGUCCUCCGUUAAAUCCAACGGCUCAACCGUUGGACUGCGGGGGAUACUGCUGGGCUAGGGGACGGGAGAGGCGAGGGGUAUUCCCGGGGUAGGGGUAAAAUCCACUGAUCCCGGGAGGACCACCAGUGGCGAAGGCGCCUCGCUAGAACGUGCCCGACGGUGAGGGAUGAAAGCUGGGGGAGCGAACCGGAUUAGAUACCCGGGUAGUCCCAGCCGUAAACGAUGUAGGCUCGGUGUUGGGCUGCCUCAGUGGCAGCCCAGUGCCGCAGGGAAGCCGUUAAGCCUACCGCCUGGGGAGUACGGCCGCAAGGCUGAAACUUAAAGGAAUUGGCGGGGGAGCACCAC
rnacentral:rRNA from 1 species